UACGAAGGUGGCGAGCGUUACUCGGAAUUACUGGGCGUAAAGGGCAGGUAGGCGGUUUGAUAAGUCUGUUGUGUAAACUCCCGGCUUAACUGGGAGAGGUCAUCGGAUACUGUCAGGCUUGAGUAUAGGAGAGGGUACUGGAAUUCCCGGUGUAGCGGUGAAAUGCGCAGAUAUCGGGAGGAACACCAAUGGCGAAGGCAGGUACCUGGACUAUUACUGACACUCAGCUGCGAAAGCUAGGGGAGCAAACAGG
rnacentral:rRNA from 1 species